CCUUCCUUUUCUCUUUCUUUCUUUUCUUUUCUUUCUUUCUUUCUUUCUUUCUUUCUUUCUUUCUUUCUUUCUUUUUUCCUUCCCUUCCUUCCUUCCUUUCUUUUCUUUCUCUUUUCUUUCUCUUUCUUUCUUUCUUUCUUUCUUUCUUUCUUUCUUUCUUUCUUUCUUCUUUCUUUCUUUUUCUCAAAAUUCUGAUUGCUAUGGAUUAACCCAAGGGAACUUCAUGCUGCUAGGACCAGCUGCAUCCUGAAACCCUUGGCAUUAAGGCCAGAUGCCAGUAUGACGAGGCGACAGUCACAUGCCUAGAGCUAAAUGUCUCGUGUCCUGAGAGCUGAGCCAGGUUCAGCAGGAAGACAAAAAUUUCCACUUGGGAGUCAAAAGCCAUGCCCACUCUGCCACAAACACACUAUUUUCCUACAACAGAGGCCCCAAGGGAACAAUGACCAGAGGAACGGUUUUCUCCUCCAAGAGUCACCAGGAAAGCUGGUGGCUACACAGUCGCCUCCAUUCAUAAUUCGCUUUAAAUCUUUCAUGAUUCUACUUCAAUUCUGCCUUCGAGUAGCAAGUUCCAUCUGUUAUUUUAUCAUGUGAAUAGUGGUUCUUUUUGUCUCUGAACGUGCCUUGUUAAAAAAAAAAAAAGUGUUCAUCACGAGGAGCUCUGCUACUGUCUAAUGAACAGAAGGAGGAAGAAAAAAAUCAGGUAAAGCACAUUAAUUCUUGCCAUUUACAACGUCACAGCUGGAAGAGAGAGUUCGAAUCUUGACCAGUAUAUAGUUCACCGACACUACUUCCAGUCUGGCACUUUCAGUGACUUUGACAUUAAUGGGCUUCAGCCAUGGGAAAAAAGUGCCGCAUGUCUCAGGAGCCGAGAGCUCUCUCUAUACGUCCUUUCUCUCCUAACCCCCCACUCUUGGGAGAAAGAGUCAGGGAAGGAAGGAAAGAGGAAGGGAAAUUCUAGGAGGCCCUACAACGCGACUUCCCGUAACUCAGCGCACUCUUUCUGUUCCGUGUUUUGUCAGCCGUACACGAUUGCGGCUGUCGCUUCUCCUUACAUUCUUCUCUCCGCGAGGCUUACUAAACAAAGCAAAAAGUGGCUCAGUGUAUCUCAAAUACUCAUGUAAGUAAGGAGUUAAAACCACGUUCCUGCCAUACCGAAUGCGGUGCUGCUCCACGGAGAGAAGGGAACACCAGGGACACGGGUGAGAGGAGACCAUGGAAAAGUCCCAAGAAGAGGGAGGGUGCCAGUCCUCACCUCUGCUCCAUUGACAACACCCGCAAAAUCAAAGGCAUCAGUGGCAACCACUAGAGGAAAAAACCUAAGGCAGAUUGCAAAGUCCAGGGCGCG
rnacentral:lncRNA from 1 species